UACGGAGGGGACUAGCGUUGUUCGGAAUUACUGGGCGUAAAGCGCGCGUAGGCGGCUUUGUAAGUAGAGGGUGAAAUCCCGGGGCUCAACCCCGGAACUGCCUUCUAAACUGCAGAGCUAGAAUCCUGGAGAGGUGAGUGGAAUUUCUAGUGUAGAGGUGAAAUUCGUAGAUAUUAGAAAGAACACCAGUGGCGAAGGCGACUCACUGGACAGGUAUUGACGCUGAGGUGCGAAAGCGUGGGGAGCGAACAGG
rnacentral:rRNA from 1 species